rnacentral:tRNA from 1 species
GGAGGCGUAUCCGGUCUGGUGUCCGGCGCGGUCUUCAACACCGACGGGCGGCAGGACCUGCCGCCGGCGGGUUCGAUUCCCGUCCGCCUCCG